rnacentral:rRNA from 1 species
AGAGUUUGAUCCUGGCUCAGGAUGAACGCUGGCGGCGUGCUUAACACAUGCAAGUCGAACGAAGCACUUUAUUUGAUUUCCUUCGGGACUGAUUAUUUUGUGACUGAGUGGCGGACGGGUGAGUAACGCGUGGGUAACCUGCCUUGUACAGGGGGAUAACAGUUGGAAACGGCUGCUAAUACCGCAUAAGCGCACGGCAUCGCAUGAUGCAGUGUGAAAAACUCCGGUGGUAUAAGAUGGACCCGCGUUGGAUUAGCUAGUUGGUGAGGUAACGGCCCACCAAGGCGACGAUCCAUAGCCGACCUGAGAGGGUGACCGGCCACAUUGGGACUGAGACACGGCCCAAACUCCUACGGGAGGCAGCAGCGGGGAAUAUUGCACAAUGGGCGAAAGCCUGAUGCAGCGACGCCGCGUGAGCGAAGAAGUAUUUCGGUAUGUAAAGCUCUAUCAGCAGGGAAGAUAAUGACGGUACCUGACUAAGAAGCACCGGCUAAAUACGUGCCAGCAGCCGCGGUAAUACGUAUGGUGCAAGCGUUAUCCGGAUUUACUGGGUGUAAAGGGAGCGUAGACGGUGUGGCAAGUCUGAUGUGAAAGGCAUGGGCUCAACCUGUGGACUGCAUUGGAAACUGUCAUACUUGAGUGCCGGAGGGGUAAGCGGAAUUCCUAGUGUAGCGGUGAAAUGCGUAGAUAUUAGGAGGAACACCAGUGGCGAAGGCGGCUUACUGGACGGUAACUGACGUUGAGGCUCGAAAGCGUGGGGAGCAAACAGGAUUAGAUACCCUGGUAGUCCACGCCGUAAACGAUGAC